UACGAAGGGGGCUAGCGUUGCUCGGAAUUACUGGGCGUAAAGGGCGCGUAGGCGGAUAUUUAAGUCGGGGGUGAAAGCCCCGGGCUCAACCUGGGAAUGGCAAUGGAUACUGGCGAGCUAGAGUGUGUCAGAGGAUGGUGGAAUUCCCGGUGUAGCGGUGAAAUGCGCAGAGAUCGGGAGGAACAUCAGUGGCGAAGGCGGCCAUCUGGGACAACACUGACGCUGAGGCACGAAAGCGUGGGGAGCAAACAGG
rnacentral:rRNA from 1 species